CCCAGAGGGAGCCGGCUGCAAAUUGAAAUCACUGCUCCGGGAAAGAACCAAGGGGAAAAGAGAAGGGGAAAAAAAAAAAACAGCAUCUUUUUAAUCAACGCUCAGAGCUGCAGCCGCUAAUGAAUUCAAGGAGAAUACACCCAGGCUAACCUGACAGAAAAUGAAAGAGACAUGGAGCAGAGCCAAGUCACCCAAGUCACCCCAGCCAACAGCCGGCUGACUCUCAAAUGUGGGAGUGAGCCCAGCCAAUGCCUACAAAGCUGUGCCCUCCUGCCCUUCCACCUACUGUAUGGGAUGGCACAGCAAGAAGGCCUUCACCAGAUGCAGCCCCUUGACCUUGGAUUGCCCAGUCUCCAGACUAUAAAAAAUAAACCUCUGUUCUUUAUGAACUACC